rnacentral:rRNA from 1 species
CAACUAUUGACAACGGAUCUCUUGGCUCUCGCAACGNUGAAGRCCGCAGCGAAAUGCGAUACGUAAUGUGAAUUGCAGAUUAACGAGAAUCAUCGAAUUGUUGAACGCAUAUUGCACCUUUUGGUAUUCCGAAAGGUAUGCCUGUUUGAGUAUCGAUA